AUCUUCCCCAAUGCACGAAACUCGGACGGAGCGACGCCGCGCGAGUGAUGAAGGUCUGCGGAUCGUACAACUCUGUUGUUAGGGAAGUACAAGUAUCGGAGUAAUAUGGCGCUACCUUGAGGGUACCUAACCAGAAAGCCACGGCUGACUACGUGCCAGCAGCCGCGGUAAUACGUAGGGGGCAAGCGUUGUCCGGAAUUAUUGGGCGUAAAGGGCACGCAGGCGGUUAUUUAAGUCUGAUGUGAAAUCUUGUGGCUUAACCACAAGCGGUCAUUGGAAACUGGAUAACUUGAGUACAGGAGAGGAGAGUGGAAUUCCACGUGUAGCGGUGAAAUGCGUAGAGAUGUGGAGGAACACCAGUGGCGAAGGCGGCUCUCUGGUCUGUAACUGACGCUGAGGUGCGAAGGCGUGGGUAGCGAACAG
rnacentral:rRNA from 1 species